AUUGAACGCUGGCGGCAGGCCUAACACAUGCAAGUCGAGCGGGGUUUUCGGACCUAGCGGCGGACGGGUGAGUAAUGCGUAGGAAGCUACCCGAUAGAGGGGGAUACCAGUUGGAAACGACUGUUAAUACCGCAUAAUGUCUACGGACCAAAGUGUGGGACCUUCGGGCCACAUGCUAUCGGAUGCGCCUACGUGGGAUUAGCUAGUUGGUGAGGUAAUGGCUCACCAAGGCGACGAUCCCUAGCUGGUUUGAGAGGAUGAUCAGCCACACUGGAACUGAGACACGGUCCAGACUCCUACGGGAGGCAGCAGUGGGGAAUAUUGGACAAUGGGCGCAAGCCUGAUCCAGCCAUGCCGCGUGUGUGAAGAAGGCCUUCGGGUUGUAAAGCACUUUCAGUAGGGAGGAAGCGUUGUGUGUUAAUAGUACACAGCGUUGACGUUACCUACAGAAGAAGCACCCGCUAACUCUGUGCCAGCAGCCGCAGUAACAC
rnacentral:rRNA from 1 species